rnacentral:rRNA from 1 species
AUUGAACGCUGGCGGCAGGCCUAACACAUGCAAGUCGAACGAGUGGCGGACGGGUGAGUAAUGUCUGGGAAACUGCCCGAUGGAGGGGGAUAACUACUGGAAACGGUAGCUCAUACCGCAUACCCUCGGAUGUGCCCAGAUGGGAUUAGCUAGUAGGUGGGGUAAUGGCUCACCUAGGCGACGAUCCCUAGCUGGUCUGAGAGGAUGACCAGCCCCACUGUAACUGAGACACGGUCCAGACUCCUACGGGAGUCAGUAGUGGUGAAUAUUGCCCAAUGGGCGCAAGCCUGAUGCAGCCAUGCCGCGUGUAUGAAGAAGGCCUUCGGGUUGUAAAGUACUUUCAGCGGGGAGGCGUUACCCGCAGAAGAAGCACCGGCUAACUCCGUGCCAGCCGCCGCGGUAAUAC